rnacentral:lncRNA from 1 species
UACAGAAUGAGAGAGAUAUUUCGUAUUCUAAAACUAAUUUUUCUCACAUGUUUGUUAGAUAUGUUGAAAAUACAAACAAAAUUUUUAAUGUUUAGUACGUAUAUCCAUCCCCUCUUUUUCAAUUCAUUAGUUCAAGAUACAGCUCUGAAGAAUAUGCAAUAACCUACAUUAUUCUAACAUGUGAAGACCAAUGAAAACAUUUGAUAUGAUUUGAAAACAAGGCCAAUUAAGUAGGAACUUUGGGUUUCGUAGACAUAAAUUAUAAUUCAACAUUUUCGAUUAAUAUUUUAAAUUUUCUUUAUUUCAUAUUCUAGUAUAUUUAAUAACAUGUUUAUAUUUUGUGAUGCAUCUGAUGUAUAAAUCCAGUGGCAGAUCCGGGAAAGAGCUCUUAGUUCCGAUCCGUUUGUACGGGGAACAUGUGGUUGCAACCCCCUCUUUAAUUGCCUGUUCGAUUUUUAUGUUUGCAGUGUCGAAAAGGGAGAUAGACAGCAGUUUUAUCAAGAAGUUAUGUGAAAGUUCUGCUAUACAUCCGACAGUCAGGAAUUAUUCUGAAGUACACAUGUCGACCAGAGGCAUAGAACAGAGAGGAGAGGUUUUAAAGUACCAGAUGCUUAUCUGAGAUUCCAAUUUGAACUAAAGAAAGCAAUAUAUAAAGAUAUGUAGGAGAAAUAAUCUAUAUGAAUAAAGUUAUGCCACAAAAG